rnacentral:rRNA from 1 species
GACGAACGCUGGCGGCGUGCCUAAUACAUGCAAGUAGAACGCACAGUUUAUACCGUAGCUUGCUACACCAUAGACUGUGAGUUGCGAAUGGGUGAGUAACGCGUAGGUAACCUGCCUGGUAGCGGGGCAUAACUAUUGGAAACGAUAGCUAAUACCGCAUAAUACUGAUUAUUCCAUGAUAAUUGAUUGAAAGAUGCUAUUGCAUCACUACCAGAUGGACCUGCGUUGUAUUAGCUAGUAGGUGAGGUAACGGCUCACCUAGGCGACGAUACAUAGCCGACCUGGAGAGGUGGUCGGCCAAACUGGGACUGAGACACGGCCCAGGCUCCUAAGGGAGGCAGCAGUAGGGGAUCUUCGGAAAUGGACGGAAGUCUGACCGAGCAACGGCGCGUGAGUGAAGAAGGUUUUCGGAUCGUAAAGCUCUGUUGUAAGAGAAGAAAGGGUGUGAGAGUGGAAAAUUCACACUGUGACGGUAUCUUACCAGAAAGGGACGGCUAACUACGUG